GAAUGCAUAAGAUUUAUAGUGCAAUAGUAGUAUAUUUACAGUGAAAUAGCAGAAGAUUUACAGUAAAAUGUUCACAGUAGAACAUACUACAUAUUCCAGUGGAAACCACUGAAAAUUACACUGUAAAAACAGGGCAAUUAGUGUGAGUUACAGUGUAAUUACAGUAUAAAAAAAUGAAAGUACACUGACAUUACACUGUAAUUUACAUAGAAUAAAUUACAAAAUGAAAUUACACUACAAAUUGGACUGGAAUUUUCAGAACAUGGCACUGUAAGUAUCAAGAAGACACACUGUAACCUAUCUUGGUUGUAAAUUACUGUGACCUAUCUUGUCAAUUACAUAAUGUAAGAUGCCGCGAAAAAUUCAUCUCUAGCUUGUAAUUUAGAUCUUUCUUGACACUUUACAUAGCUCAGAGGAAACACUGAAAUUCAAGCAAAAACAAUAGCUUUGCUUAAGAACAUGAUACUGAGUACUUCCAUUUUUUCUUAGAAUUUCAGGAUCAAGAAGCUGAAGGAAACGAAGGGAAGCAAGAAUGCGAGGACAGGAGUCAUACCUGCAAGAUGAAGAGGACGCACUCCUUCAUGUAAGCCAAUAAUUGCUUCUUGUGGAAAAUAAAAUAAAGAAAGCAACGAUCAGGUUAUUGUAUCUAACUGGUUUGUAAAAAAUUGUAUUUACAGAACGGGGCGUACACAUUUACUGAACUUCCUCAAGCGCAGAUGAUGCACAAGGUAAAAAAGGAAAUUGGAAACAUUGCAAAAAGAGCACAGCCUAUAAACACAAAAAUUAUACUUAUGCAUGCAUUUUACCGCCCUACCUAGCAGGAAAAUUAUUCUGGAUUCCAGGGAAGUACAGAAACUGACUACAAUCUGGCGAACACUGCAACUAGCAAUUAUCAAACAUGAACACACAACGACACGGUAAGCAUUGCCCUCCAGAUUAAAAAAGAAUGCCUAGAUGAGACUAUUUUGCGUAUAUAUGACUAUAACACUGGUGGUGUGACUGAAUGACAAUGUUUGAGGGUUCACUUGUUGAUGCAGGGAGAAACUGUGAUGAUGAGUGUUCACAACCCAUGGGAUGUCAGUCUAUUUGACAACAUGGAACCUGACAAGGUAGACUCACAUGAUAGUUAAGAUGGCUGACUUGGACUAGCUAAAAAGUAACUUCUGGUGAAAAUAAUCCUUAAGAUGGCUAAAACUAACAAACAAUAAAUACAGGAACCUGAAGAAUCUUCAUAUGAUACAUCUGCAACACAAGCAACAGAGAAAGGGCUAAAUCUACAAGCAACAGAAAGAAGUGAAGAGACAGAAAAACAGCAGCGAACUCAAACCGAAGAAGACAAGGAGUACCUAGAUCUUCCUACGAGAUGUUCCUAUGAGAUGUUUCAUGUACAGAAAACGAAUUUACAGUUAAAUGUACACAGUAAAUAGAAAUCAAACUCCUAGAUCUUCCUACAAGAUGUUUCAGAGAAUUUCAAAGAGAGUAAACUACAAACCAUACUAGAAAAACUGGAAUUGCGCAACAUACCUACACUAUUUACAAUGCCAUUAACACAGUAAAAAGCAUACAAGCUGACUGUAAAAGAAAAAAAAAUUAAAAAAUACUAACCUAAUAAACAAGCAUGGAAUUACCAAAUAAACACACACUAAUUAUCAAGAGCAUAGCAAAAAGCAUACAACCUUACUGUAAAAAUAGAGAAACCAAUUUUCUAGGCCUAGAAACUAGGUAUUACCCAAUAUACUAAUUACAGUAACACGAUCACACUAAAAAAGCAGUCAAGCUCACUAUAAAAAGGCUAUCCUAAAAGCAAGAUACAACUUGGAAUUUCCCGGCAUACAUGCACUAGUUACAGUUGAAUGAGCACGGUAAAAAGCCUCAAGGCUCACAGUAAGUUGCUUUCAAUCUUGCUGUAAAAGACCAAAACUAAUUACAGUACCAAAUAAAGAUGCAUGAAUACAGAAAUAGGACCAUAACCAAAAAAAUAUAUUUACAUACCACAUUACGGUCUCCUGCAGUAGUUAUCUUCCGUUUCAAAUAUCUAACUUUCUACAAACCAAAAAAAAGAGUAAAAUAAAAGGUAUACAAGAACAUAUGGGAUAUGAGAACAAAAGAUAUAUAAGAACACUUGUGAUAUUAAAACAGAGAAGAACAUCGAAUAGACGAGAUCAAAAAGGCAAAUCAGAAAAGUUUACUUACAUGAUUCACAUAAAUGUUGAACAAUGUUGUGUCAAAAGUGCCAUCAUCCAUAGAAGAUUCCAACAGAGAGCAAAAAAUAACUAAAUUAAAUAAUUAGAAAGCGGAAAAGGCAAACUAAAUAAGGAAUAGAUUUUAAAAAGGUGAGAAAAUAAACCUGAGACAUUUUAAAACAAUCAGCAUCUGCAAAAUCGUCAGAAACAAAAGGAUUAUAUGAACAUUCAACACUGUCAUCAGGAGAAACGUCAUGGGGUCCCUGCCCACAAGCUUUACGCAAUCUUGCCAUCCAAACAAAAUCAGAACUGCAACUAACAAAAAGAUAAAAUCAACAAAUUUACAUAGAGAAUUACAGUGUAAAUGCAAUGACAAUCUAAAGUACUUACAUAAUGGAAAAUUCAAAAAACACUAGUGUAAAUACAAUGUAAAAUCAUAUAAGUUACACAUGGAUAUACAAUGUAAGCACAUUAAAAUAUGAAGCGUAAUUACUGAAAAUUACAAGGAUAUACAGUCCAAAUUUACUAAAGAUACAAUAAAAGGACAGACCCAGUGCAUAGAAGCUCCCACACAAGGUGGGGUCUGGGGAGGGAUUAUAGGAACCUAGUCUUACCCCUGCGAAGUCCAAAUUUACUAAAGUUACAAUAUGAUUACAAAUACAAAUUACAGUCCAAAUUACUCAACCUGCGGGGUAAUUACACUGACAUUACAUUGACAUCUCUAAAGUUACUAAGCUCCCAGGAAUUGAGAGCUCCAGGUGAAUCGGCGUAAAGGAAGUCGGUCGUGAGACCGACUGUUAACGUGUGUCAUGUUGCUUAGCUGUACAUAUGGGCCUGCUCGCAGAGUCGUGGCUGGGCCUUUUGCUUACGUGUUGGCAGGUGUGUUACGUCGGUGCCGUCGCUUCUAGAUCCCAUUAGUUUUGUGGGCGAGGCUGUGCGUCGGUUCGCACUUCAGAGAGGGCGGCGUCGGUGUUCAUAGAGAGAGAGGCCUGCUGUUCUCCGCAAUCGGUUAUUCCGCUGGGGAUUUCGUCUUCCAAAUCGGCCUUGUCUGCUCUACUGGGCGGUCAGAGGUGUUCACGGCGACGUCUGGUUGUGGGGCUUCAUCGGGCUGUUAGUCUUCCUGCGUUGCAUCUGAUUUGAUUUUGCUUUCUUCGUUCUUGUUUCCUUAUGUCUUGUUCUCUUGAUUGUGGAGUCGAUUGUGUGAUGUAGGGUAUUGCUAGUGUGAAUUUUUGUGCGGAAAGGGGAUUCUGGUUUUGGUUGGGGUUGGGGGUGGNNNNNNNNNNNNNNNNNNNNNNNNNNNNNNNNNNNNNNNNNNNNNNNNNNNNNNNNNNNNNNNNNNNNNNNNNNNNNNNNNNNNNNNNNNNNNNNNNNNNNNNNNNNNNNNNNNNNNNNNNNNNNNNNNNNNNNNNNNNNNNNNNNNNNNNNNNNNNNNNNNNNNNNNNNNNNNNNNNNNNNNNNNNNNNNNNNNNNNNNNNNCCCCUCCAAAGAAGUACCACGCAGGUCGAGCUCCUGGAUCACCACGCCCCUCGUGCCCACCCGCCGCCCCGACCAACGACAUGCUAGCCAUCAAUACCGGACAGAUGGAUGAUGGAUCAGCACAGAAGUCACCUGAUUCCCUUUGAGAUGAACCCCAUCGAGCCUCAUCAUCCUACAGUUCCCGGCCGGUUGUUCCUCCUGCUGCCUGUCGACGGCAUGCAUCACCUCCAGCAUAUCGAACCAUAGUAACAAUCAGCACCUACACUUCUCUAAAUUGAAGUACUUACGCCAAGCAUGUCGUCCACAAUUUCUUUUAAGUCUGUCGGUGUUGACGUCGGUGAGGACGCCGAUUAUGUUCUGGACGGCGACCCUCAUAAGCUGGUUGUGUCUGCCAUUGCAGGUGUAAAGGGGAGGAGUAAGAGGGUGGUGGCACCUACCACGAAGUGGGACUGUUGUGGUUCAAGUGGUAUUAAUUUAUUUUGUUCCGUCAAUUUUGGCCCACAUAUUACUACUUCCUUGCAUUUUGUGGGUACCUUAGAGAUCGUUCCUUGUUAUGUUGAGGUUGUGUGUAGAGAUGAUCAGACAAGUUACUUCAUCGGACAUUUAUAUUUUUUAUUUGAGAAUUGAAUAGCAUCCGUGGUUCAGGGCAUGGGUUCGUUGCAUACUUUCUAAUUCAAAUGGUUUCUAAUGAUUCAUAGUCACAGAAACAAGAAUAAGAGGAGGCAUUCUUUGAAUAAGGUAGAAAGUGUAAAAGAACAAGGUGGCAAACAUUGUAAAGAGGAUCCAUAGUUAAUCACUGGUGGCAAAAUUUUAUUUAGUCUGAUUCUACUAAUAAUGUCAUCAGUGCUUUCAGAAGAGGAGAUUUCUUGUCCUCAUUGCAACAACUACCACCAAGAUAGUGGAUCCGCCUGACAUUGUCGUUGCUGCAGCAUGCCGGUCGGUGAGUCUUGCGAGCAUAGGUUUUGUGGUGGUCACCGACAGCAUGAACCAAUGUCGAUGUCACUGUCCUCACAAUCCCAGGCUCAUUGUCGAACGCAUCGCUCUCAUAUCAACAAUGUUCUGCUUUGGAUGAUCUCAUUUCCUGUCUUUAUUGUCUUCUAUACUUAGGUGUGUGUAUGAAAGAAUGCCUUCUGAUGUGCCCUGGGUUAAAAGAAGGAUCAGUGCAUGCUUAAAUGUAAUACUUCAGUAAUGGGGUAGUGUAGCUGCCUUGAAGUGAUUUAGGUUGGUAGCAUUGCUUGGUGUACAAAAGGUUUGCAAUGCUUGUAUCCAUGUGCUUUUGGUUAGCUUAAUCCAAUUGUCUUGGUUCCUCUUAGUAUGCAGGUGUAUCCUCUAAUGAUAUGGUGCUUCUAUGAUGUAAAGGUUCCUAUUAUGAAACUACUUUUUUAUGCAUUCCAUUAACUGCAUGAUCCUAUGCACGUAGAUGUAAUUUUAGCAUACCUAACAUUUGAUAGUAUACAACUAUACAUAAUUCAUGUGACAUGUACGUCUUUUUUGUUCUAAAGAGAAAUUCCACUAGGGGGAAAAAUGAGCAUUCUCUUGAUAUAGCUGGUAUGAACUGAAUAGCAAAGCAAUUGAGUUAUGGUCUCUUGUUAAUUGUCUCAUUUCUUAUUUUCUUGGCCUUGUGGUUUGGAUUAGAAAGCCAAUGAAAUCAAUGCAUCAGAAUUUGAUUUUGGAUGACUACAUAUGCUUAAUAAUUGUGUUUUUUUGUGGGGUUUAGGAAUUAUGGCUACAACUAGCGCCUCGGUAUUUGCAUAUAAAAAGGUGAUUUUGUUUGGCAAUUGCAUAUGUUUGCGAACAAGAGGGUUUCUCAUCAUGCACAGAGAAAUAAUUUAUUGUAUCUGUAUAUUUUACUAGACCAUUGGCGCCCUUUUGAGCCAGGAUAUAACAUGAUAUGUGUUCCCUGACAUGGUAAUCUAAGAAUUUUUUGUUAGUUUAUAUCAUGCAGUGUGUCCCCUGGUAGCUCAGCUUUCAGAUAAUUACAGAACUAUAGCAAUAAAAUCCCAUUGGUGCUUUAUGCAGGAUUGGAGCUUUGACACAAUAGGAAAUUAUAGCAAGGUCUUAGUGAAUGCAUAUCUUGGUCCUGGAAAUUGAUCUUACAUCUCUACCUCUUUGCAUUAUGUGCUUGUUUUUUCUACCUUGGAUUUUUAGAUCAUUAAUGGAUAUAUUAUUACCGAGAAAGGGUGAUAGUCUGGCUAGACUGAGAUUGAAGUUGUGGACUUGUCGUUGUAUCCAUAUGUAGUCAUGUUUUUUUCAGUUCCUUAUGACGCUGAUUGUAACUUUUGCCUGCUAUUGAAAAUGGCAUGCACUCAAUAAAGUGUUUAGGUUGAAGACAAAUGUUUAGAGCACAUCACAUAAUUGUCAUUUGUCUUACUCUGGCAUUCUUCUCAAAUUUAGAAGAAUCAGGUUCCACUGUCAAGGUGAUCUCAUAAAGCACCAUUAGUUGAUUUGUUAUUACUAAUAAAUACAUUCGUUGGAUGGAUAAGUAUUCUCUACCUGCACAAGGGAGUUGUAUAUGCAUGGCCCUGUGUAUUACUCAGUCAGUUUUACUUAUCAAUGCAUACAAUUAUUUUUCUUAAGCAGUCAAAGUCAAGUUGGAUUCCAAGGGAAUGGAUUGGCAUUAUUUGCUAUAAGCAUAUAUAUUAGAUGAUGGCAAUAUCAGCUCCGUUAUGCAGAUAUACCAGAGUAGCUGAGUGCCAUAUGCCUACGACUAACAUACUGCUGUAUAUUAUUGCCAUAUGCUUUUGUUUGGGUGAAAUAAACUUGUAAUUAUUGCCUUCUUUGGAACUCCCUAAACAGUGAAAAGGAGUUUCAUCAGAAAAGAAGACAUGUGAAGGAAAUUAAGCAGGAACGGGAGUGAGGGAGGCAAGUCAGAAGGUGGUCAUAGCUUAGGAAUUCCACUGAAAAUUUCUCUUAGUUUAUGGUGUUAUUUAAAAUAUUGACUUUUGCUAAUAUUACAUCGUUGCAGAUUACAGAACCAAAUUCUACAUGAUCUCGGUAGACUUGUAUUCAUGAUUUGCACUUUAUGAUGUCUUGAUUCCUCCAUUUUCAGGUGAUGCUUCACGCGGGAUUGGAUACUUUCCUAGGAUUUCAUAAUGUUAGAACCUUGUUCGAUGAUUGUUGUGUGACAAUUUUGAGAUACGGUUUAGGCAACCUUGCUCUUCACCAUUCAAGGUUAUUUUCCUUUUCUUUACUGCCUAACACUUCCAGAGGGGUGUAAGGAAAGCAAAGAAGGAGAAAAAAUUCGAAGAGAGUACCUCUAUCUGGAAAUGCCAAUUUUCCACUGCUCAAGCCUGAAGUGGAUGAACCCAUAUACAAUUGAACGAUGAUGUUAUUCAUAUUGUUUGACCUUGUACUUGCUGUUUGGAAGAACCUACGGAGGACUUUCAUUGUCAUUAAGAAGUCUUCCAUAUAUAGCCCAAACCAAUUCACGGUGCUUAUCACAUUUUGCUCUCCCGAAUGUACCACCCCCUCUACCAUUUUUAUUAUUCUUCUAUAUAUUUUAGUUUUAAUGAAUGAAAAGCGGCGCGGCAAAGCGCGUGUUUGCUUCUAGUUACAGUGUAAUUUACUCAAAAUUACUGAACUUACAAAUACAGUCCAAACUACUGAACUUUCAAUGUAAUUACACUGACAUUUGAAGUGUAAUUAAUGCAGAAACAAUGUAAGGACACUAAAUAUUUGAAGUGUAACUACUGAAAAUUACAGGAUUAGAAAAAAUGACAAUAAACAAGACUGAAAAUAUAAGGAAUGCAAUCCAAAUUACUGAAAAAGAAACACUGUAAUUACAGGGAUAUACAGUUUAAACCUGACAAUAUGGAAGUUUCAGAUCACAUGGCAGUAAAGUUGCAGGGUUACUGCAAAAAAUAUUCAGAUUACUACAAGUGACAUAUUACUGAAAAAUACAGUCCAAAACCACUAUAACUUAACUGAAAAAAAUCAGCCUCCCAAACAGAUUACAGGGCAAAAAUGCACAUUAAAUUACACUGAAAGUACACACAGAUUCAGUUAAAAACCAAAAUUGCUAUUACACCCACCACACAUACAGUGAACUACACUGCACUUAACCUGAAAAUGUACUCCAAAUUAAAAUGCAUUUUUCAGCCAGGACAAUUGAAAACUGAACUAAAAAUAUUUAGUCCACCAAAACACAUCAUGAGACACAAGAGACCAGGUAACUCAUCAUUUGCAUCCAUCAUUUAGGGGCUGUACAUCUACAACAGCUAGCAGGCGACAAAAAUGGGUCAAACAAGCAUACACUCCACACAUACUAUGUGCUAGAUACAGCAUCUACAUCGCCAAAACAGGAGGGAUCCACAAGAGGGAUUGAACUCAUCUAGGAGCUACUCGUCACAGUGACAACUACAGAGGCGACCGGAAGCACAAAAUCACCGAAAAAGCAGGAGGGGUCAACCACUACAUAUGCAUCUAACAAUACUCCUGCAACACCUGCAACAUCCAGACCAUCUAAGAUCCGCUGCUACACAGGGAAAUAGCACAACACUGCUAGAUCUAGCGAAAAUCGAACAGAAAAUACAAGGGGGUGAACACAGGGGGGAAAGGAUACAUACACAGGAGGGGAAAUGAGGAGCGAAGGUAGCAGAGAACAAAAGGNN
rnacentral:lncRNA from 1 species